rnacentral:rRNA from 1 species
GACGAACGCUGGCGGCGUGCUUAACACAUGCAAGUCGAACGGAAAGGCCCUGCUUUUGUGGUGUGCUCGAGUGGCGAACGGGUGAGUAACACGUGAGUAACCUGCCCUUGACUUUGGGAUAACUUCAGGAAACUGGGGCUAAUACCGGAUAGGAGCUCCUGCUGCAUGGUGGUGGUUGGAAAGUUUCGGCGGUUGGGGAUGGACUCGCGGCUUAUCAGCUUGUUGGUGGGGUAGUGGCUUACCAAGGCUUUGACGGGUAGCCGGCCUGAGAGGGUGACCGGCCACAUUGGGACUGAGAUACGGCCCAGACUCCUACGGGAGGCAGCAGUGGGGAAUAUUGCACAAUGGGCGGAAGCCUGAUGCAGCAACGCCGCGUGCGGGAUGACGGCCUUCGGGUUGUAAACCGCUUUCGCCUGUGACGAAGCGUGAGUGACGGUAAUGGGUAAAGAAGCACCGGCUAACUACGUG